rnacentral:rRNA from 1 species
UACAGAGGGUGCGAGCGUUGUCCGGAAUCACUGGGCGUAAAGGGCGCGUAGGCGGCGCGGUAAGCGUGCGGUGAAAGCCCGGGGCUCAACCCCGGGUCGGCCGUGCGGACUGCCGGGCUGGAGCACUGUAGGGGCAGGUGGAAUUCCGGGUGUAGCGGUGGAAUGCGUAGAGAUCCGGAAGAACACCGGUGGCGAAGGCGGCCUGCUGGGCAGUAGCUGACGCUGAAGCGCGACAGCGUGGGGAGCAAACAGG